rnacentral:other from 1 species
GUGAGCCUGGGGUGUUUGUUGCUUUAUUGAAUAGAACCACCAAUGUUUGAAAGGGAGCUCGCGUUCUUGUGUCUAUGUCAGGCCUCCUUGUUAGAGGAAGACAAAAGCAUUGGACAGAUCACCCACCUGGGUAAGGUGUGGUAUCUUAUUCUCGGCAACGGCAUUCCGGGUUUUGU